UUAACCAUAAUCAGGCGCGCCCUGAUAUUCAGGCGCGCCCUGAUCCAUGUCUUCUUCAGAUUCAACUUCCUCCUCAGGUUCUGGCUCAUCCACAACUUUUGCCUUUCUCUUUAUAGGGCGGCCCCCGUAAAACUCCUGAUAUGAGCAUAUGUUACCCACAGAUUCGCUUAGGAAACCAUAUUCUAUCAAACGCUCAGUCGUGACUAGGUGAUUAAUGAUCUUGCUCUCAUAAGGAAGGUUGAUUAUGUUUUCCGCACGCUUCUUGGCGCGCCCAGAAAGCGUGGAUUGUUUUCUUUCAACUAAAGAAAAAAGAGGGAGUAAAAUGACUAAGUGUAAAAGAGUUAAGAGCAAAGGUGACCAAGGAAAAAUUAACAAGGCGCGCCCAGAAGAGAUGAAGACUUACUAGGUUUUAUGUUAAAUUGAGUCCUGAUUCUUUCAUCAGGCCAAGUAUAGAAGAAUGGUUCCUUCCAUUUUUUGUCGUGGCUAGUCUUUCCUUCUGACCAGCGGGUAGAGUUGUGGGUUUUCCAAACAACCAGAUAGUAGUAUCCACAGCUGGACGCGCCCAAGCGGAAGAAAAAGCUGAGAUCCUCCAUGGUAGGGGCCCGGUUAUUAUGGUCACGGUAUAGCAUGUAUAAAGCGAAGGCUAACUUCCAACUGUUGGGAGAUAACUGAAUAGGGGCGAUAUCAUACCAUUCGAUGAUGGACUUGAAGUAAGGAUGAAGUGGGGGCCCGAUGCCAAGCUUCACCAAUUUAGGCGUUAAAACCAUUCUUGGAAUACGCAGUCGAGGGUUGUAAUCAAAAACAUGAGGUCUCAUCCAUGGAUGAGGGCGCGCCCAGAUGCAUCCUUUAUCGUAAUACCGCAAACACCAUUCAAUCUCUGCCUUAGAGGCAGUAGAGGAUAAUCCUACACAGGCUAACUUUCCUGCCUUCUUGCGCCUCUUAGCUUUCAGGGUCUCGCGGAUGUCCCCCUCCUCUUCCCAGUCAAAGUCCAAUUCAGCAUCAGUUAUUGGGGGAUGGGCAUAAGGAUUUGGAGAAGGAGCUGGAGAAGGAGGGCGCGCCUCAUCUGGAUGGCCCUCCUCAUCUAUAGCAUUAUAGAAGUUUCUAGCCUCUUCCUCAGCUGCAGCCUCCUCAGAAUCUUCAUCGCUUUCAUCACCAUCAUUCUCUAAGCCAUCCUCAGCGUGUUUAUUUAGUUGAUCGUUCUCAGAUUCCGAAACGUGGCUCUUCUUAGAAAAAUUACGAAGAUCCUGCUCAUCUUGAUCUAGCAACUCAUUUAGGUCAAUUUGACGAGAUUCAUAUAACUCAGGUGAAGAAGCCCCACUUUCCGUCACACCCAUGGUAGAUCGAGGAGGGAACGAGCGUAAAGGAAUGGGUGAAAGAGGACCUGGCGCGCCCAGAAUAGCCAGCUGCAAAAGAAAAUGAACGGAUUGUGACAACUGGGCGCGCCAAAAUAAAUAUAAAAAAAAAGAAGAAGAAAAAGGAAAAAGAGAUUGAAGCAUAAGUAGAGAAGAAAAGAAGGGAUGAAUGAAAGGAAUAGGUAAGCUUUAACCUCUAUCCGCAACAAUGCAAAAGAAUAUUGUACAGAAGGGUAAAGAGCGCGAGAUAAGAAUUAACGAAUAGAUGGGGACAAGGGGCGCGCCAGGAAAAGAGAAAAAGGAGAGCUCGACAUAACAGACAUAUUUAAUCCUAUGGCAUACACCUACAUAGUAAAGAACCAGGAAAUUUUGCAUACUAUUACGAGGCGCGUCUAGUCUAUAUCAAACAACUCAGACAUCACAAACAUCUAUCUCAGAUUAAAGAUUCCUUAAACAAAAUCAAACGCAUAUACAUACACAUAUAUGUACAGUAGAAGCGUGAAGAACAGCGAGGAAGAUAAAUAGUCACAUGCUCAAAUCUAUUAAGUUACUCGGCGAAAUAGGGGGAUAAAGGUAUGAGAAGAUACCUUAUGAAGAGAGGAACGCUGGGCUGGUCUCGGAAUUUGAAAUGGAGCACAGAUGCGACCUGAGAAGCUCGAUGAAGGUCGACGGCGACGAAAGGCGGUUAUGGAGUAAAAGAAAGUGAGAUGAAAAUGAAGAAGUGAAAAAGAAAACCCGUAUUUAUACCUGGGAGAAAAUAAAGAAUUAAAAUAAAGGAAAAAUCACACGAUCAUGGGAUACAGCUGUAUACAACAAGGGCUUCAACGGUCAUGAACCUAAGGCGCGCCUAGAUAGGUCAAAGACAGUUGCUGAAAGGAGGUGAAAGUUUUAAAGAUCUCGUCGACAUUUUCAAUAUCACCAAGAUCUGGGGGGUAGUUGUUAUAUACGAAAUUGCGAGGACUUAUUAAAUGGGCCGAGCCCACGGAAGAAAGACUAUCUGGGCCAGGGAAAUCAAGAUCAGUUCAAUCUCAAAGUAACCCUGUCAAAAGAUAGGGCGCGCCCUAUCUUUAGGCGCGCCCACUUUCCGAGGGAAGUUCAUUUUGUCAUAAUUUUGAAGGGCAGUGAGAGGUACUUUGUGCUCGGGGGGACGCCCUUGAGCGCGGGUAGAUCUCAUUGUUAAAGUAAGAAGACCCUACCUUGUAGUCUAGGGAGUUGUCCUCCUUGGGAGGUAGAGGAUAGCGAAGAAGACGCCUUGGAAGGUCCUAUCUCUGUAGUCUGGCGGGUUGUCCCUGUCGGGGAGUAGGGGAGUGUCCUUGCAUUUGGGGUAAGCCCAAAGGGCUAGGCCUCAUCGUAUUGGACCCCUUCCAGGAGGAAGAUUCUAGAAGGGGAGGCCCAGCCCACAUGGGUCUCUUAGGAGAAAGAACUACGUAACGGCUUGAUCCCCUAUAAAUAGGGGUACGUAGGCAGAUUGUAGGCAUCGAUCAUUCUUGAGAGCUAUUCCAGUUAGCAAUCUCGAACCCUUUGCUUACAAUUGCAGCCACCCCCAUAACAAACAACCAACCAUCUCCUACAUUCUCGCCGACAGAAAUCUUGAUCCACGCCGCGAACCUCAUCUUUGUUAACCUACCAGUUUUCUCCGUUAACAACAACAUUUCAAAUGAACAAAAUCAAAUAGAAAUUAUAACUAAUAUUAGGUUAUAGUAAGGACUAGUGGAGUGGCUUAAUCUAAAAUAUAGUACUUGCCCUGUAUGAACAGUGUCUUAAAUACUUUCUUCGGCCAAAAUAAAUCAUGAAGUUAGUAUAAUCUUUUAAUAAAUAAAGAUGUGAUAUAUUAUUAUAAGAAUAAUAUAUGUAUAUAAUUAUAUAAUAUAAAUAUUAUACAUAUAUUAUAUGCGGUGCGGUGCGGUUUGAACCGCGAUACGUAAAUAUAAAACCACAACCCGCACCGCACCGCGCGGUUUGUAAAAAAUUCAACCCGCGACCGCACCACGAAAAUUUAAAACCACGUUCUGUGGUGCGGUUCGGUGCGGUGUGGGCGGUCCGGUGAACACCCCUAGUUAAAACAGAAAAACAUCUACAAUGAUCAUAUAUUUUAUUUUAAAUUUUACUAAUUCUUCGAUUUUACAUUUAAUCUUUUUUUUAAAAAAACUACCUAACGUUUAACUUAUAAUUAUAUGAUAUGACGUGUUAAUUUGAGUUCCAUCUAUUGUUCAAUAUUUAGAGAAUGGCAAAUUUUGUUUUUUUAUUCUUAUAAUACGAAUUUGGAUUUGAGGUUUUUAAAGAUGAAAAUAUAUAUUCUCCUUUCAAAUACACAAAAUCACACCACAAAACAGCAAAUCAUGUCAACAAAUAGGUACAUGAGCGACAGACAUACAAGCUGACUCAAGAGAUAUCUUAUAUAACAUAUUUUAAAUUAUAAUUUAAGACAUUUGGUGAAAAAUGUUGAUCCAAUAAAAUUCCAGCCAUGUCAACUUGCAACCCUUAUGCUCUUUUAUAGAAAAGAAAAAAAUCUGCCGAAAGUGAAUCGUGGUUCGCUGGUAGCGUAAACCUGUUGUCUUAUACCACAAAUCAUUUUUCAUCUUUUAAAAAAUAUUACUUGCAUAGACGACAUAAAAAAAAAAAGGAAAAGAAAUUGUCGCCUAGAGACAGCAGAAUUGCGUAUGUUGCGUUGGAUUUGUGGUAAGACUAUGACAGAUCAUAUACCGAAUGUUACUUUUAGACGCCUUUUAGGGGUUGAGUCUAUCUCUAAGAAAAUAAGGGAGGGGCGUUUACGUUGGUAUGGACAUGUUCGGCGUAAAUGUAACUCAGCCCCGGUUCGAAGGGUUGAACGCAUAUCGGUUCGGGGAAAGAGAAAGAGAGGUCGGCCCCGUCGGACGUGGUCUGAUCAAUUGAGUUUGGACUUGGGAGCCCUAAAUCUAACGGGAGAUAUGACAUUAGAUAAGAAUGAUUGGCGAAGGCGUAUUAGAGUAGUUGAGACUCGGUUUAGUGGCUUACAGGGGUUUUGAGUGUUCUGGUGUUAUGCUUUUAGGACAAGGCGCAGGUGCAACGGCUCAGAUCAUUCAUGCACAGAUGCAUUGCCGAUGAAGGUGAGUCCCAUGUGUUAGCAAUCAUGGGCUAAGGUACAAUCUACUUAUAUUUCACACAAAACUUUGUCUUGCACUAAGCCGGGGGUCUCACGGAAACAGCCUCCUUACUCUAAAUGAGUAGGGGCAUGGUCUGCGUACAGUUUACCCUCCCCUGACCCUGCUCUAAGCGGGAUAUACUGGGUUUGUUUGGUUUGGUUUACUAUCAUUUCUUUCUGAAGUCAGAGCAACUAAAUUCUCAUUGCAGUUUUCUUUCAUCAACCAUCCCACUAAAAAAUCUCGGACUCCUCAACUUAUCAAGUGAUCAGCACCAAAAACAAACACUGAUAUAAAUCACUAUACAAUCAAAUGUUCUCCUUGUGUUUCUUUCUAAUUGUAUGUGCUCAUUUUUUGUUUUUUUUUUUGUUUUUUUUUUGCAUUGUUUGUAGUCCUGGAUAACUUGGCUAGCACACGAAUCCACUGAAUUUGCAUAUUAUAUCACUAUUUUCCAUAUAUGACAUUAUAGGGACAAACCACAUAUCAUUGAAUCAAAAGGAUGAAAAUCUCUGAGUGUAUGAAGACAGGACUCAGGAGAGUACAACAGCAAUAAUCAUCACGAAAAACCAACUGAAAUCUUCACCAGUUCUCAAUUUUUUACUUAAAAGAGUACGUAAUAAAACUGAAUCUGAUCACAAAUAUUAAACUGAAUACGAGUCCACUCUCUGAAAUCUUGUCCAACUAGCUUCAAGCGUAAUUCAGCCGGAAUACGUCAUUCAACACAUAAAAGCUUCCCUGUGGUGUAGGCAUCAAAUGGAACAUCUGCGAAAAAAUAAAGAUGAAUAAAUUCCCAGUUAUAACCAGAAAAAAUAAUCAAUUGACAAGAUAGAUUAGUAAAAAGACAUCAGAAUAAGAAAAAAAGUUCUCUUGAACUAUGCUGAUUAGUGGAAUAACUAGUUGUUUUGAGGCAGAAUAUAUUACACGCUACCACAGACAUUGUAUAGUAAAACUUAAAACAUCAUAGGCUAGUAUCCCAUCUAUGUACGAAGACCAUAGCAUUCAAUUGAGGACAUAUAGUCAAGUGAAAAAAAGGAUAUAUCUAUCCUUACAAAAACAAAAUAAGUAAAGAACACUUGUAAAGGUAAUACGCGUGCCCAUAAAUCAAAGAUGACCAUAAAUCACUCACAAGCAGCCAUCAGACUUAUGACAAAGAAGUGGCUGAUUAAAAAGACACUAUUACCCGAUACUUCAAUCGACACGAUCUAAAGCUAAUGUCUUUAAUCAUAAUAAAGAGUCAUAGUUCUAAAUUAAAGCAGAAACUGAACCGAUAUUAUGACAGACUACACACAAAGGACACCAAGAAAAGGUUCAAUUAAAGAUUUCGAUCAUUGGAACACAGUUCUUAAUUUAAUUUAGCCCCAAUAUUACCUAGUGAUCAAGUCAACUAGAGGUACCAUGAUAUCAAGUUUGGUUGCGGUGCUGAUACGUAUAAGAACUAUAUUACUACCUUCAAAGAGAACCCUAUGGUUACCAAUAUUUAUAUUGGGAACUGUGUGUCCUUUCAACUAGAAGUUACAAAAAUCAGUUGUACACUUGCAUUCUUUCAAUGUUCUAGACAAACAGAAUUAUAUACAUAUCUUUCAUGUAGACAUCAGGUUACUUACGUUAAAACAUACACUCCAUUUCAAGGGAAGGAGAUUAUGAUGCAUGUUGUUUGGUCUUAAGUAAUCUAACUGAUACGUAUGCAACUCCAAUUUUUCUUAAUUACAGAGAAAAUUUUGGAUCACAUCUUUUAGUGAACAAAACAUAAUCAAACUCAUUUACUAACCAAGUAAUUGAUACAGAGUAGGUUUGACCAUAUAUCAUCAAUAAAAGGUGUGCAAGAUGAAAGCAUUAAUAAUUAAAUUACACUUCUAAUAAGAACAUUAUCAGGAGUAAGUUGACAGAUUAUCAAACCAAAAAAUCAAAUUUGGUGAAGCCCAGCAAGAUCUUCAAGAUUCACUACAUAAAUGCAUAUGCUAAUGUAUCUAGCAAGAUAUAAAAAUAAAAAAUAUAAUUAUUCAUUAAAAAUAUAAAAGCAUUCAAAAGCAUCCUUGCUAGCUUUGUGGUUCAUUAUUAAUAAUCUCUUCCUUGGCCAAACAAGACAGUCCAGCUUUUAGUUUUUACAAAAAAAACAGUGCAGCAAAAUAACACAAAAUUUGAUGAGGGGAGAAUGAAGUCAAACUAUCAAAGAAAACAAUUCCAAUUCCAAAUACUUUCAGAUAGCAUAAUAGGCAGUACAAUGCCAUUAAUAGUUCAAUAGGUGAUUUGACUGCUACAGACAGGUUGACAGGAAGCCUAGAGGUAAAAAAGACGUUAGACUUGACAUUAACAAAGAUCUGAGUAAUUUUUACCUCUUAGACCUAGUUUAAUACUGUAGUAAGAAUUACCCUAAUAUUGAAUUUCGAACCUCCUAUCUAAGUAACAUAAGAAUAACAUACACAAGCCAGAAAGAAUCACACACCUAAGAACGAAAUUCAUUAGAGCAUAAGCCACGAAGGAAAGCCCUUACAUCUACCAUCAUUUAAAAAGCACAUAAUUCCAACAAUCAAGCUGCCGAAUCAGUUACAUUACACAUCUAAGUGAUCUAACCAACCACAAAGCCAUAGCAAGAGAAAUCAAUAAAGCCAAUUUCACAAUAAUAGAUCAAUUCAGAUCAAACACCCCCCCCCCCCCCCCUCCCCUCUCUCCAACACUAAUUCUAAUUCCAAUUAGCAUAAGCAAUUGCAAUACCAGAACAACUUCGAAAUCGACUACUAACGUAUAAAACACCUCAAACAAUUACUAAGUAGAGGGAGGGAGGGAGGGAGAGAGAGAGAGAGAGAGAGAGAGAGAGAGAGAGAGAGAGAGAGAGAGGGAGAGAGAGUGAGGGAGGGGGAGGGAGAGGGAGAGAGAGACCUGACUAAACCUAAGAGCAUGCUGUUCGCCAGCGAGCUGAAGAUUCCCGGAGACAAAAACAAGCAUACCACCAGCAGGACCAGAAGGCUGACAAUCAACAGUGGAGAUGCUAUGUUUACACUGCUGAAACGGGAGAGAAGUAAGCUUAGCAACGAUAUUGACGGAGCCUUGAAUCUUCUGACCUUCGAAAGUCAACAUCGAAGCUUCCUGAUACAAAUUCCCCAGAUUCGAACGAUUGUUAUCGAAUGUUGAGUAGUAGUGCUCCACAAACGCCUUGGCCACUGCAUCUGGAUCCAUCUCGCCUAUACACACAGCUGCUCUUCUCUGCUCUCUGUAUAUAUUUCUAUGUAUCAAAAAUACCUAACUCUCUGGACCUUGAAUCUUCUCCCCUGCCCCUAGUACUCUAAUUAUAAUAAAAAAAAUUAUUAAUAAUUUAUGAAUUAAACGGUGUUGACAAAAUUCUGAUUAAUUUUCAAUGAAAUGAUGUCAAUGAGAUAUUAACUUUAUCUGUAUCUAACUGAAUUGUCAUUUUUAUAUUAUUAAUUAAUAAUUAACAAUAUCUUCAUUUUAUGUCAUCAAUAAUAUAAAUAUAGUAUUUUUAUAAUAAUAUAAAUAUAGUUUUAAAUAUGUAAUAUCUAAGGAAUAAUAUACUAUAUACAUUAAUUAAUUAGGGACAUAUUUGAAAAUUCUGUAAUUUUGAAAAUUAAUUUUACAAAGUAACUUGACAUAUUUAUACUUGAAAUAUUUGUGUGGGAUAUAAAUAUAAGUGAUAAAUUCUUUUUCGAUAUUUUCAGAUUUAUAACAAUCGAUUGUGAAUCAGAGCAUGUCCAAUAAUUAUGUUAAAAAAGAAGGAACUAUCAGUAUAAUUUAAUAUUAAAAAAUGAUUAUUUUUUGUGUUAAAAUAGAAAAACAUCUACAAUGACUUUAGAUUUUGUUUUAAAUUUCACUAAAUCACAUAUUUCACCUAAAUUAAAUCAAGCUGGAUAAGAGUAUUUUCUAUGAGUUGGCUAUAGUUGGAGAUGAUCUAACAUGUUAUAUCUAUUAGAUUAAAUUCUUGGAUGGGAUGAGUGAGACACAAACGAUAAACUCUUAACCAUCCAACCGUGCUCCUAACAUGCUAAUUAUAGAUCCAACUUUUUUUUUUUUUUUGAACAAAAUUAUAGAUCCAAGUAUUGUUCAAUAUUUAGAAUAUUUAGAGAAUGGUAAGUUUUAUUUUUUAUUCUUAUAUAUAUAUACAGAUUUGGAUUUGAGACUGUAUACUGUUUUUAAGGAUGAAAUAUAGAUUCUGCUUUCAAAUACACAAAAUUACACCACAAAACACCAAAUCAUGCCAAAAAUAUGUACGUGAGCCAGAGACAUAAAAGCUGACUAAAAUUUGCUUCACAUUACUCGUUACUAAUUCUUAACAGUAAUUACACCAAGUCCAUAGAUGAUCAGAUCAUUGGCAUUGUACAAAACAAACACACUCAUUUGAGUAUUGUCCUAGUAUAACUACAUGUAAUCUAUAGGAGAAGCUAGUUUAUAUAUAUACAACCUGCAUAAUCUUCUCUCAACCUAAUUCUACUAUUUCUGUAACACAAUAAAUAUUAUCGAUCUCUAUGAUACAAACAUCGACUCUCCGAAACCCCCUCAGACUGUAUCUUUAUCAUGUCCUUCAAAUUCUUCUCAGGUUUUUAGGUGAUAAUAUCCUUCAGAGGCUCUUAGAAGACGAUGAGAUCAAAACUGCGUGGAAAUGAAUUGUGUCAUCUCGCUCACAAUCUGUACAAAGAAUUCCCACAUCUAAUGCCUAGUAUAUACACUCCAGUUUGGUGGAAUAAAUUGGGUUCCUGGACAGAUAUGAAGCAAAGUCAAUAAAUUCGAAUGCUGGUUUGGUUACUGAUAAGGCCCAAUCAAAGUUGGAACUGCCGACUAAGAAGUAAGAACUUACGAUCGGGAAAUAUCUGGACCCCUCGUGAGCAUUUCAACAAGAUGUCUCAAGGAGCAGGCAAGAAUGCUUCUAUUAUUGACAUGCCUGCACCACUCUCCUGCAGAUUAAAUGAACUAUACGAAAAAGCGUGAAACCUCACGAUAGAGUUGUUCAGCUUCAAACGGUUUCGAGACAUAACCAUCCAUUCCAGAUUUUAGGCAUUCUUCGUUGGUAGCAUGAAUCACGUCAGCAGUCAUUGCCAUAAUAGGAAUAUGACAUCUUGAGAUGUCUUUGUGAGCUUCUUUUAACAUUUCUCCAUGUUGUAUACGGCCAUUAAUUUUAGAUUCCAUGUCUCGGAUCCUUCGUGUAGCUUCAAACCUUUAUCAGAAAAAUCUCACCAUCAGUCAUAUUAUGUAGUAUUGAACACAUUGACACUGACCAGAUAAGCAUGCUCAGUUGAUAACAAAAAUCAAAGAAGUGUACAGAAUAAUUAAAAGGAAAAAAAAAAAAAAGAUAAGCUUUCAGGUNAAAAAUCAAAGAAGUGUACAGAAUAAUUAAAAGGAAAAAAAAAAAAAAGAUAAGCUUUCAGGUGGUACUAUCUACGACUGGCAUAAAUGUAAGCCACAACCAUCUGCCACAAGGUUGAGCUUCGGAUAUACAAAAUUAACUAUUAAAAAUAAUUGUGAUCCUGAAAUAUUUUGAAGAUAAUAAAAAAAGAAAAAAUUGGAAAAGAGCUAGUAAGAUAGUAACUUAUAGGAGAAUAGAAGAUUUAAUACGUACCCAUCCAUCUCAGGCAUUUGGAUAUCCAUGAAGCAAGCAUCAAACUGGUGCGGGGGCUCCAGCAGUGAUAUUGCCUUCUUUCCGCUGUCUGCACAGACAACGUCAGCGCCAUACUUUUUCAAUGCACCAGCAGCUACUCUGAGGUUAACAUUAUUGUCAUCUACAACUAGAAUUUUUCUACCAAGGAGAAGACUACGGAGAGACAAACUCGGGAGCUCCCCAUUUCGGUAAUUUCCUCGGUUUUUUGCACCCGUGGCACGUUGUAUAGAAGCAGCCAGCAUGCUUGCUCUCAAGGGUUUCACAAUGACGUAUGGAUAAUAGUUACCCAAAGUUGCAUGCCCGUUUCUGCUAGAAUUUACAGAGUUAGCUAAAAGGAAUACUUUCGGAGGAACACCUUGGUCAAAAUUCAUCAAUCGACUGACAAAGAGAGCUGACAUGCCUAAAUCCUUGUCCCAAACUUCUUGUUCAACUAGGACCAUGUCAAUAACCUUUUUUCCACUGCUCAUGACAGAUAAACCAUGACUCAAACCAAUCACUACUUCGACCUGGAUCCCAAGACGUUGAAUAUGAUACCUUGAUGCUUUUGCUCGGACCUCCCUACUGUCCACAACAAUUGCUUUCAUGCCUUGAAAUUCUUUAUAUCCCGACUGCUGAUUGAUUUGCUGAAUCUUCUGUGAAUAUGAACUAUUGCCUCCAUUCGUAAAUACAGCAGUAAAGGUGAAGGUGGAUCCUACCUUGGGUACGCUUACAAACCCGAUUUCACCAUUCAUAAGGCCAACCAAGCACUUGCUUAUGCUUAAUCCAAUUCCUGUGCCCCCAUGUGUUCGAGAAAUAGAGGGGCCUACUUGCAUAAAGGGAGUGAAAACACGGGAUUGGGCUUCUAAAGGGAUUCCAACACCAGUGUCCUCCACUGAUACAAUGAGAUUGAUGGUAUCAGAAGAAGAUGAUACAGAAGAAUUUGACCCCUCUGGAUUUAAUAUUUUAAAUCCUGCCCAGCUCUUGCUUUGAUCUGCUACUGGCAACCCACUUAAGGUGUUCUGCCACGAUGAUUCCUUCUCAACUUCUGUCAUGUCCAUCACCUCGUCAACAAGAUGGACCGUUACGAAGAUAUGCCCUUUCUCAGUGAACUGUAAAAUCGAAGAAUAAACAUUGCUGAGAUAUUUACAAUUUUUUUUUUUUUUUAAGUGAGCUAUUUACAUUUUAAGAAACAGAAUACAAAAAAAAAAGUAACUCGAGAAGAAUGGUGUAAACUAAGUUGCACAAAUAAAUCUGCCUUUUGCAAGCUAUCGAAAACUAAAGUCCAGACUAACACAGAAUAUAUACUCCCAGUUCAAUCUUUUCAUAUAGAUACGUUUGAUUGUCUAAUGGAAGGAGUCUUAUAGUUUGACCCCUUCCUAUUUCAUUUUCUGACAGCUGCUACUUUAUACAUGCCACGGUGAUGUACCAAAUUAUUUUUUUUACAUUAGAUAGUAUAUUACUUGGUGCUAAUUCCUUUGGUACGGACCCCGACUUCAGGUAUUUAUUUAACAACUGGGUCACAUUUAUAAACUUACUUUGAUUGAGUUGCCCAUAAGAUUUGUGAUGAUCUGUCGGAAUCUUCCAGGAUCGCCAAUUAGCAUCUCAGGGACCUUGUCAGAAAUGUAAACUGACAACUACAACAAGUGAAAGCCCUUUAGAACAGAUAUAAAAUAUUAAAAAGAAAGCCACAAAGGCAAUUAAGAACAAAGAAUGAUGUCCUUUAGAACAGAUAAUAAAAUAUCAAAAGAAAACCUCAAAGCCAAUAAACAACAGAGAAAGGUAACUACAAAAACUAUAUAGUUUACCUCCACUCCCUUGUCUUGAGAUUUUCCAGAAAAUAGAGACAAAACAUCAUCCAAUAUCUCUCUCAGAUCAAACCGCACUGCUUCGAGCUCUAGCUUACCAGCUUCUAUCUUUGCUUGGUCCAGAACCUCAUUUAUAAGAGAGACUAAAGCUUUUCCGCUGGCCUGUGCAGUCCUAACAUAGUCUUGUUGAGUAACAUCAAGAUCUGUGUCCAUGAGCAUAUGCAACAUCCCUGCAGAGAUGAAGCUACACAUGAAAUUUGAAACAAAAAUACCUGGCAUUUCUGUUUAUUUUUCCUACCAAUGUAUAAUGGUUAAUGGAGAUUAAUUAAUCUUACCGAGCACACCAUUCAUUGGGGUCCUGAUCUCAUGGGAAACUGUAGCAAGGAACUACAGCAUGCAGAUAGAUUAUUAGGAGCACAUUAAAAAUAUAUAAACGUAAAAUUUAAAUCAUUAGUAAAAGUUAUAUACCUGUGAUUUGGCAACAUCAGCUGCCUCAGCACGUUUCUUCAGCUCUCUCAUCUUUUGGAAAUCAUCUUCAACCUUGGUUAUUCUAUUCAUAGUUGCAUGAAAUAUUUGGGCAACAAGAAGCGUAAUUACAAGGAUCCCAUAUGAAGUUGUUAUUGCUAGCCAUGGCCAAGGGCGUUUCUGCUUAAAUCUGCACACAAAAUUUUUUUACUGAGGUGAUCUGAUAAUAGUUGCAUGAAUAUUUGUGUGAAAUACAGAACACGCCGGUGGUUCUGAUAUAUAUAAUAGCUGUUAAUCAUCUUAGUUGAUCAAAAGUCGUCAGUUGUAACUAGUCAGUAACUUGAAAUAGAUGGGAAUUGCAAGGGACUGCUUAUAUGAGGCAGGAAACCAGAAGAAAUUAGUGCUCCGUAGUCAAAGAGACAAAUAAAACUCUUGUACUCACUGCCAAAAGAGACAUUAAACCCUUCUACCCACUGGCAUUCUGUCUAGAAAUUGUUUGACCGCAAAGUGUAUAAUAUCACAAUCAAGUGUUUCAUUUCAACAGUGUAAGAGCAUUCACUGUUUGAGAGAAGUUAUUUAGGUAAUGUAGGAGAGCUAGCAUGGAGUUUGCAUUUACAAAUGACAAUUACUCCUCUGCCUGAUUAUAUGUAUUUAUGUGCGAGUCAAGGUGAUUUUUGUCUACCGACCUGAGAAAGUAUGAUACUGAUCCAAUUCUUUAACAUUCACAAGUACAAUAUUGUAUCACUCACCUGCAACGCAUCUCAUGCUUUCUGAAGGGAUCUCCAAAGUUAAGGGGACUAACAUGCUCCAACAAAUCUUCAAACUCAUUUGAACCGUACAUGCUGAUAGGGGAAGAUAGGUUGGUGGUAUCAUAGACAUUCACGAGUAUUGUUUGUUUGCUCGCAAGCUGUUGAAGUAACUUUUCUACAAGCGAUUCAAUAUCAAAUAUUCCACCAAGGUACCUGAUUGAAAACAAAAACCAUUGUGAUAAGGUUGUUCAAUGUGUUGAAACUUUCUCUAUUUCUUUUCUUGGCUAACGAUAAGUAUAGAAAAUCCAUCUGCGCUGAAAGUAUUAUUCGUUACACCCAUUAUUACAUGGGGGUCGUUCAGUUUUCAAGUAUAAUAAAAUUAAUCUGGACUUUGUUCGUAUAUCAUAUCAACCAAAAUAACAGCACUUGCUUAUAUUGGCACCUAAUAAAGCACUUUGGUGUCAGAAGAACAAGAUAAUAAUAUUAACUACAAAGCAAAUGAUACUAGUUGAAACUUGAAAGUAACACUAAAAACAAUUUGCAAGAGCUAAAUAUUAGGAUUAUAAAUAUUACCCAUCAGUUGCUUGGACUCUCUCAUCUGGUGUUGCAUUAGAAGGAAAAUCUAUCUUGUAGACGGCAAAAGUCAGUAUGACACCUAAUCGAUUUGAUUUGAGCAGCUUGAAAGGAGCAGUGAGAACCCCUUUCCCAGAUUCUCUUGCACGCAAGAUAUUAUCACGAUCUUCCUGUUAGUACCUAAGAUGUUAAACUUUGAAUUUAUAGAGCAGUACUCCUUGUAUAUCGAACUUACCCACACAUAAUUAUUCAAAUAUUUUUAAUUAUUCCUUUAUACAGUACUAGAGCAGCAAGCAGAUGCAAAUUGUUAAUAUCAUAUGUGCAGCUUAUAUACUUUACACCACAAUGGCCAACUUCAAAUGCAAAAUUAUACGAUCCUCUUACUGAUCAAGUGUGAAUAUGAUAAUGCCAUAUUUUGAGAUGAUAAUAUUAAUAUGAAUAGCUAAUAACAGGAAAUGUCAGUUAAAGUAGUUUAAAACUUGAUGAAUUUCUAAAAUUUACCUUCCCUGACAGCAUAUCAAUGGAAAUUACGUGAGCAACAGUCUCCUGAGCAAAAAUAACUGGAGCAUAUUCCUCCUGAUUUGGCUGAAUUAAAGAUGGCUCUGGGGCUUCGGAUUCUUCCCCAUCAUAUACACCCUUAGGAACUGGGACUUGAUCAGAAUGAUCCAUCCUCUUAAUUUUCCAGCCUUGCUGCUUCUCAAAAUGUUCUCUUUCUGAGUGGAGCACCCUUACAGCAUAUGCUACACCACUUGUAAGGGGCCUCUCAAAAGCUGUUCUUUCAGUGUACCUGGCAAAGGUCCCCUGCAGGUUCAUGAUCAACUCUAAGAUUCCAAUCUGAGCUGUGCUAAUACUAAAUGAAUUGUAUUAUUACAAUUAUAUCAAUAUACGAUAUGCAGGCUAGAAGAAAAUUUAAUGCAAUCAACGUUAGAAUCAUAAACACACACACACACACACACACCACUAUAUCAACUAUAGCUACCUAGCAUCCGGAUAUACGAGAAGAGGACAGUACCUGAUCGAUAGCAGAGGGAUUCUUGGCAUGGUGAAAGGUUGAAAUCAAGAUAGACAUAGCUUGGACAUGAUUCAUACUCACAUUAAACUGAUCUUGUAACAUUCUAGCCCUCUCAUCACACAUACUUGCAAGAGUCUCCUUUCUUUUCUCCAAAGCUUGAGAGUUCAUAUACCAAAACACCCACAUCGAAAACAAGGUUCCAAUCAGCACCCAUGUCACCAAAAGAUUCCUCCACCAGCUUUUUCGAAAUCUCUUUAGACUAAAAUACUCAAAAUAGAAAUUAUAAAUCUUAUAAGCACUGAUCUUAUCCCACCACACCAGCCAUAGCUUCCUCCCAUCCCCAAGCAAAUCAUUCUUAGUGCUCAUAAUUCCUCCAUUAAUGAACCAGCUCAUUGAAAUCAAUGAUAUUAUCCAUCCCCAUAGCAUCAACAGCAACUGCCCCACCUUCAGAGCAAACCCAACAACAUAAAAAUAACUCAUCCACAACAGUAACAACAAUAAAUUCACUCCUUCAAACAGUAUCAAAUUAAUUAACCCCAACACAACAGUACUAAAAAAAUACUCUACCAAAAUAGAAGCCUCCCACUGUCAAAUCCUCACAACUCUCUAGACAGACACAACAUCAGUAUAUACAUACACCACACUCAAACGAACUUAAAAGAAGAAAGAAUGAAGCAAGAGAGAUUGAUAUGACAAGCCCAUCAGCCAUCUCAAGAGCAGUAAAUAAAAAUAUAAAAAAAGUAUUUAUAUGAUGCCAAAGGAAAGGAUGAUACUACCUUAUCCACCCAAAAUAUCUUGAAAACUGGAAUGCUGCAAGAAGUGAAAAAGAUAAGAAACACGAGCACCCAAACACCCACCAAAUCAAACCCAACCAAGAAUCAAACCAUCCUCAAGAUUCUUAGUCCAAAAAUUUGAUCUUUAUCCUAUUUAUCCACCAAUCAAGCAUAAAAACAAAAACCAAAAACAAAAAAAAACCCCAAGAAAUAAGAAAUCAAAUCAGAGUAACUCAAACAAAGAAUCUGACAGGAAAUCUAGCAAGUAACUAACAAGUAGUAGUACUUGAAGAAGCUAAUCAAAAGCAUGUGGGUGUUGUUUGACUAACUCAAAUAAGCCAAUUAUAAGUGUGUAAUAAAGAAGCAUGAGUGUGUGUAUGUGUGUAUGUGUUUUAUGGACAGGAAAUAUAGGCAGAAGAAUCUAUGUAAGAAAAGAUGAGGAGGAAUAAAUAUGGUGGUAAAAAUGUUUGUUAGCUAGCACAUGCUCUUAUCUUUAUCCCUUCUUUCUAUCUCCGUCUCAACUCUCAACCCACAAUAAUUCAAUUUAUAAAUCACUAGACUCGUUGUAAAUUUUUAAAGAUUUAUUUUUUAUCUCGAAAGCUACUUUUAAGUUGGGAGCAGGCCGGAACUAUACAGUGUCACUAUAAACCGAUAAUAGAUGCUGGCUCAUUGUUCGGAAAUUUCAGUAAGAUUGGAUGUUGAUAAUAUAUAUUCGAUUUGAAAAAAUGUUGGACAAGAAAAUUUUAGAAUAAAAAAUUUUUUCUGGAUGAUAACUAAUUUUAUAACAUUCGUAUUUAUGCUCUCUCAAAAAACAAAAACAUUCGUAUUUAUGCGGAGGUGAUAUAUAAUCGCUAUAUAAAAAGGCAUACAUUAUGAUGAGUUGAUAAGCAAAAUCACCAGUGUUUAUAGUUCCAGGCAUUGUAUGUAUCGUUUUCAUACCAUACAUGUGUCAGAAGAAGAAAAUGUGCUUUCCUUGAUCUGCUUUUGUAUUGCAGGUGUAACACAGAUGGUUAAUUAUAAUUUAUAAAGUAUACAAGAAUGUUAUUUAUUAUUUGUAAUUAAGAAAUUGUUAAAAGAUAGUAAAACAUAAAUUUUAAUUUGGUAAUCUGAAUAAAUUUAUUAACAAGAAUUAUCCAAGUGAGAACAGUUUGCUUGUGAGAAUAAUGAAACGGUUAUUCAGUAUUUUUUAAAAAGUGCAAAACAAUUAUUUUACAGUUAUUUUAUUUUUUCUAAUAUUAUAUUGUACUACAACAGAAUAACAUUGUUGCUAGUGUUUUUAAGCUAAAACGUGUACUUUAUAUAGCGCGAUCCUUUGUUAAUAAUAUAUAAUUUAUGAAAUAUAAAUAAUUUGUAAUAUAAUAAUAUAAAUAUUAUUUAUAUUGAAUCAAAUUUCAGAAAUCAAUAUAAUUUAAGUAAAAAAGUUAUUAUUCACAAUUCCACAAUUUUAAAUUAAUAAAUAAUAAAUUAUUUAUAAAUAUAAUAAAUAAACAAUAUAACAAACUGUUUUUGGUUUAUGUCUAGAUUAAAUAAUCUCAUCCAAACAAGUUUGUAUGUUUGCCCCCAAAAUUGCACACAAAAUUAUAAAAUAGAAAUCCGGAUUAAUCAAACUCAGUACUCAGUAGACACAUCAUUUGUCAAUGGGAAGAGCAGAACCAAUAUCAAUGUUAAAAAUAAGAAUUAUAAGACGGUUUGACAUAAGUUAAAAAAAUAGUUAUUAUUUAUGAAUGAGAAAUUAGUUAUAUGUGAAAAGUAACUUUUUUUGACGAAAAGCGAAGAUUUUGAUAAAGAACUAAAAUCCUGAGACACAAACCCUCGAAUUGUCAAUUACAACGUGAUUAAGAAACGAAAAAUGAGCUAAACAUAAAACCGUUUUGUUUUUAGAUCGCUUAACAAAUAUAAUAUUUAAAUUCUUGAUCCAAAAAGUAUUACAAUUAAAUCUCAAACCUACAUUAGUGGUGAAGAUAGUAGCAUCAUAAUAGACAAUCACAUAAACAGCAUCUGUAGCCCAAUGUUCAGAAUUUUUAGUUACAUAAACUGAUAUUGGAUUAACAAAUAACCCCAAAACAUGAACAAUUUUAUGUAGUGAAAGGUGAGCUCUUGCGAUAUUCACCAUCGUGCCAUAUUUGAUACAAGUCUUACAGAUCAUCCAAAAUAUCAUGUCUUCCCUUCUUAGAAACGUUAUCGAAACUGAAACCAAAAAGAAAAUACACAAAAAUAUGAAAACAAACACAAGCAUUCCAAAAAGAUGGGUACGGCCUUGAUGACAAUAUACUUGAUAAGAAAACUCACCCAAAAAGGGUUAGAUAUUAAUUUUUAUUAAUAUAUUAAUUUUUAUUAAUAUAUUAAUUUUUAUUAAUAUAACGACAAUUAGGAAAAAAGAUGAAAGAGCGAAGAUGAUUAAUCAGUAUGGAAGAUGAUGGUUGAAGAGCGAAGAAGUGACGGCUAGGACCCUAAUUUUGGAGAUAGACUCUCAAAACUGCAAACCCUUGUGAAAAGUAACUUUUAUUUUAUGUGUUUGGAUAAUUAACUUAUAUAUAUAACUUAUAGGGUAUAAAAAAUUAAUAAAAUAAAAAAUUAUUAUUAAUUACUUUUUAAAAUGGUCUUCAAAAUAUUUACAAAUCAAGUUUCAAAAAUAAAAAAUAAGUCACUAAAAAAGGUACGGAUUUUCAACAAGACUUGUAUUAUAACGACCAAACAAUGAAGCAAGCCGAUAUUUUUACUGUCAAUCUAUAUUUGAUAUUUUUUUCACACAAACGAAAAUAUUAUUCCCAUAGUCCUAUCAGGGUUUUUACACGAACGGGGAUUCGACAGGUAUUUUAAAAUUUUGAUUAAAUAUAAUUUUAUAAAUAUUUUUACAAAUACUUUUCUUUUGAAUAAAAUAUAAUAUUCAAAUUUUUAUUCAUAAAAGAAAAUUUUCAAAAAAAAAAAUGAAAUUAUACUUGAUCGGAAUCAUGAAAUACCUGUCGAGUUGUGAAAAAAUAUAUUAAGUAAUGAGUAAGAUAAAGAUAUAUUAAACAAUACUCCAUUUCCAAGGAGGCUCACGCAACAGAACAAAAUCUUUGCACGUUGUGGACUUGUGGCCUUAUUAAUCGGUCGAAGCAUGCAUCUAACCAUAACUCCACAAGUCAAGAAUCACCGCUGUAUGACAACCAACGUCCCAUUGUGUUGGACGCUUGUUCACUUGCGUGCCAUCAUGAAUUUGGCUCUCUUUGUCAUUGCCCCUUAAUUUGUUGCCAUGUCUUCGUGUUCGCUUCUUUCAUUCAUAAACUGAAGUGUUGGUGGAUACAUAUAAUUUAUUCGUCACUCGUGGAUGUUAAUUUCAGACACCUCUGUGUCCUAUCAACAUUUUCCUUAGCCAACGUAGUGUAUACAUGUAAUUAUUAGGUUAAGUAGGAUUAAAUAAUCUAAAUGUUGAGCACGAUUGGAGGGUCAAGGGUUUAUCCUCCCCGCGGUCAAUACUGACACUAUAUCGCUAUAAACCAUAUUAGUAAAAAAAAUAGUUUAAAUAUCUUUCAGGCUCUGUUCUAAAAGUCGGUGAUUAGUCAUCGAUUAAUCCUUGUUCAUAGCUCACUGAACUGAUUAAUUCUCCAAUUAAUCACCGAUCAAUCCGAUUAAUCUCUGAUCAAUUCAAUUAAUCCCCGAUUAAUCAUUGUUCCGUGACUUCACCGAUUAAAUCCGUUUCCCGCUUUUUACAACACUGUUCAGGUCACUAAAGCAAGUAUAAUAGUAUCUUAAAUUGAUGUCGUAAAUCUAAAUUCAAGGAUCCAACGAUAUUCUAGUAAUAUUUUAACUGAAACUUUAUUUCAAAUUAUAUUCUCUUUUAAUUAUAUUGUUUAGCUGAAACGAAAGAAAAUAAAUACAUAAUUUAACAACUAAAUCAUCACAAUCACCCAGUCCCGUAUAACAAGUGUUCGUCAUAAACAAUAAACACAAUAAUUCCGUUUUAAUAAUCAUUUGCAAGAUAAUUUUUUCAAAUUUUAAUCUUAUGAUGUUUUUAUUUUGGUCACGUAAUUUUAGGUGGGAUGGUGUAUUGUGGAAAUUGUAUAUUUGAUUAAUUUUAUAAUAAAUUAUAAUUUGAAGUAGGUGUUUUUAUUUUAAAAAAAUUAAAACAAUAAAUGUAGUCAAAAUAUAUAAAAGAACUUGUCAAACGUUACUUUUGUAAAUUAGAAUUUGGAUUAUAUGUUUUUACUUAAAUAAUAUUUAAUACCUGACAAUAUAUAAAUAUAUAUAUAUAUAUAUAUAUAUAUAUAUAUAUAAUCAAAACAUUAAAAGAACGUGGUCAAAAGUCACUUUUUGUGCAUUAAAUUUGGAUAAUAUGUUUUUAUUCAAAAAAAAAUUAUACUAAUAUUUCUAAAUACAGUUACAAUAAACGGAAAAAUAUGUGUCAAAAUUUGAAAUAAACGAAAAAAUAUGUGUCAAAAUGUAAAACGCCCCGUAAUUAUAAGAGAGUAAGAAAACCGCGGAGACUAUAUGAAAUUUUGGACAAAAUCAGUAAAAUGCACAUGUUAGUUCACCAUGGAACUCGUACAUAUCUAUCUGCUCACAAAAAAAAAAAAAAAAAAAAUUCAUAUAUGAGCUUGGCAAAAGUUACAAGAACCCAAGGCUUCCUUAACAACCAAAGACAUUGCAGCUAGUCAAAUUAGCAGGUGUAAGAUUAGGCUACAAUCCAUAUAAUUUGCUUCGUCCAUUUCUGUUCUUCGCCGAACUUUAGUGCACGCUGACUUCUCGUCUUAGGUAAAAGUAUCACUUUGAUUAAUCAUUUUUAUAGAUGAUCAAUGGCUAUUAGAGUAUUAGGUAAUUUACUUGCGACUUUGAACUUGUGAAAGAAAGAAAACAGAGUAAAAGGAAGAGAAUUGUUUUUUUCUUUGACAGAAAAAGGAAGAGAAUCGUUCAGUUUAAAGUUUUUGAAAAAUAUUGAAGAUUGGAGCCAGAAUUCACCAAUGCACUGUAAAUAAUAAGGUUUUACGAGAAAAUCAUAAAUUUAAUGAUUUAAGGAAAAUUUGAUGUAUUAAUUUAAGAGUGAUUACAAGUAAACUGGCAGUGAAAUUUUUGAUUUCGAGUUAAUUAUGUAUAAAAAUUUGUAAUCUGAAGAACACAUAAUAAUAAAUAUUCAUACAAAAUUUUACACAUCAAAUAAUUCAAAAUUUUACACAUUAAUUAAUUUUAAUCGAAUUUUGAUUGUUCAAAAUCUGACAACUAAAAAAAGACGGAAAAAGGACCGGGGAUGAGUGAGAGAAACGGCUGGUAGAUAAGAGCAAGUCCAAUAAGUUACCUAUCUCAUUACUUAUAAAUAAUAUAAAAUAAUGAGGGCUAGUGAGUGCUAGUGAUUUAGGAGCUCUAAUUUUAGUAUCCACUCCAAUAGUGAAUCUCUAUUCUUGUUCCUUAUUAUUAUUUUAAUAAUAAAUUUGAAUCUUACCCUUAUUUGAAUUUUAAAAAGCUGCAGAUAAAUAUGACACGUAUUAAUAACAUAACAGAGGGUUCGAGUUUACCUAUUGUUUUCUAACGAUUACAAAAGUAAGGUGUUUUAUAUAUAUACUACUCAUGUGUGUCUAUCUAGUAUCAAUCUUUUAUUCAAUCACCUUGUAUAUUCUUUCAAAUCUCUGAUGGAUCCCCAGGAUAUUGUGACAUAUUUAAUUCAAGAAGAAGAGGAGGAGGAGGAGGAGAUGAACACGGUUGUAGCUAUGUGUUAUUUAGACAAUGCAAACAAUAAGUAAUAUUGUAGAGGGGGGGGGGGGGGGNNNNNNNNNNNNNNNNNNNNNNNNNNNNNNNNNNNNNNNNNNNNNNNNNNNNNNNNNNNNGAAUAUAAAAACAAAACAGAAAUUUAAAGAACAAGGAUCUUAAAAAUUUCAGGUGGAUUGUUUGAUCCACCUGAGAGAUUUUUAUAUUAAGAACCUUCCAAGUAAAAAUACUUGGCUGCUUACAAAAGAAUGAAGAGCAGAAGCUUACAAUUUCUUGCUAACUUUCUCUAGUGCUUUGCUCUUCAGUUCUUGGUGUUUUGAUACUUUUAAAAUGUAAAAUUACAAAGUGAAUAUAUACUAUUACAAACAAAACUAGUCUGUAAAAGCAUUGUCCUACUCAGUCUCUAGCUAAAACAAAUAUAGAAUUUCUUGGACUUGAUACAGCAUUUGGCAGCUUGAAAUCCUUGUUGUUUUGCCAGAAAUGGUAGGCUUCGAGGUUCUCAAUAUUUGACUAAACUGCUUUUUGUUUAGCUUCUAAAACUUGUGCAGUAUCUGUCAUAUCAACCCAUGUGCUCUUUGUCUUUAUCUUGACUUGUUACUGUCAACUGCUAAUCAUCAACUGCUAAUAAUACCAGUUGAUACUUUUCUGAAAUAGCGGUUGAUAGUCUUCUUUGAAUUAUGGAAUAAUGGUGUUGAUGUAGCGGUUGAUAAUCUUCCUUCUAAUUAGCCAUUGAUACUCCAUGAUUAGCGAUCGAUCUUCACUUCACUUGGAUAGAUUACAUGACUUCUCAUAUUUAUAAUUAUGUCACCCUAUCUACACAUCCAUUGAUAGAUCAACUGCUAAUCUAAAAGUAUACAUAUUAUUACAUCAACUGCUAAGAUACUCCAGCUUUGUUACAAUUAGGGGUGUGCAUUCGGUUAACCGAAACCGAAACCGAAUUUUUUUUCGGUUAACCGAAACCGAACUUUAUCAAAAUCCUCUACCGAAAACCGAACCGAAUUUAUUUCGGUUUUAUAACCGAACCGAAAUUUAAAUUUCGGUUAUUACCGAAAACCGAAUUUAUAAACCGAAUUUUUUAAAAUAUAUUUGAAAAUGUGAAAUUUUCCUUCGCAAAUCUGAAAUCGGCAAUUUUACAUUAUUACAUAUUCAAGUAGAUUCAGCAGCAACAAACUAUUUACGUCUUUAGACCAGAGCAUAUUCAGACCCAAGCACCCUGCUGCAAAGUCUUUGCAAAUAUAUGCAUCAAAGCUCUGCCAGUUUUAUCAAUUGUAAAUUGCAGAUGAUAUCAAUUAUAUCAAUUUUAUUUAUUACUCCAUACACAUUGAUAAAUGUUGUUGAAUCACUCAGUGUAUACACUAUUCAUAUAAGAUAUAUAUAAAUUUAGUUUGCUAUCUCUCAUAAUUAUAUAAUAUUUAUAAUAUUACCUAAAAUAUUAUUAUUUUAAUUAAAUAUAUAUAAAUUCGGUUAACCAUUCGGUUUUCGGUUAACCGAAUUAAAAAAACCGAAAAACCGAAAACCGAAAUAUAUAAAAUUUGGCUACCGAAAACCGAACCGAAAUAUAAAUAUCGGUUAACCGAACCGAAAUUAUUUCGGUUUUUCGGUUCGGUUUUCGGUUAACCGAACCGAAUGCUCACCCCUAGUUACAAUACCUCAUCAGCCGUUGAUGGGUUAAUCUGAUCAAUUGAUACUGCCUUAGCAUGCUAUCAAUUGAUCAGUUACAUGCAAUUUUAUUCUAAGUAAGAAUAAAAUACUUUGUAUCAUCAAGCAUCACAUAUUCCUAACAAUCUCCCCCUAUUUAUAUCAGUAGGAAUUUCAGAUUUAAAUUUGAGGUGCUUGAUGAUU
rnacentral:lncRNA from 1 species